ensembl:lncRNA
GUUACGGUUGCCAUGGUUACAGGGUGACGCUCUCUCUCUGCGUGUUUCCUGGGUGAGAGAGCGCCUUUGUGUUGUUGUUGUUGUGCUAAGCUAAUAGGCAGACUGCUACAGGCAUAGCUCUAAAGAAUGUAGCAUCAUGGGCAGUGUAGUCCGUGCUGCAGGGAGAAUGGACUACCAUACCCGUUAUGUGUCUGUGAGCGAGGGAGGGAGAGAAAGGAAAAGUCCGAGCUGUCACGGAGCAAAAACGGGAGCUGGAAGCAUGUAAAUAUAAUAAUAACCACCGCAGCCAAGAAGAGUGCCUGACGAGCCCAUUUUCCACGAUGGUCGAUACCAAUGACAGCUUGAGCUGAUUUAGUUUGGAUGUAGAUCAAAGCUGAAUCAGUCGGCUAAAGAAGAUCCUCCACUUCCCCAAAAGUUGAUUCUGUUCAUCUGGACGUAGCGUUUUCAGUGGGAGAAACGUUAAUGAUCAAGGAACUGACCUCCCAGCCCAUUGUUCCAUCAGUGAUGCUAGUUUCAGUCAUUAUGCAAAUGUACUGUUUAUAAGAUUGGGGAAGCCUGCAGUCAGCUGAGACUGAAGAAGUCACU